AGGCCGAAAGCGGUGCAGGUUGGGAGAGGAGAGGGGGCGGAGGCUAGGAGGCGUGGUCUUUGUAACCUCUGGGAGGCUCCGCAGGCCUUUGACAUUCCAAAGGCUUGACUUUUGAUUUGUAGCAGGAAAGAUGGUGAUUGGUUGCUUGCUGUUUGUAGACUGGUUACCGCCCCACCCCCGUAGGCUAGAUACUUUUUAUUUCUUCGCGUCCAUUACUUCUUUCAGAACUUAGUUCCAUAGAGAACUAUAGGCUUAUUUAAGGGAAGAAAUACCAGCAAGUACAGUCAUUCAACCUACCCAGGGUCACCAGCAAUGCAUCUAGAGAAGAUACCCCGAGUUCUUCACGUUUCAAGUUCCAAGUUCAGUAGCCAAGCUUCUCAAAUACUGUAUCAACUGAAAUUAUUUUAAGUUAAUUAACAUGUUCAUUUUGUGUUAUUUAAAUGUAUAGAAAUAUGAAAUUAGGUGUAGACUUAGAUCUACAGUUUUCAUAUGACUACUAAAAUCACACAAUAAAAAUAUGCAAACCCACCAAACCAACACACAUGGCUUUAUUAUUUUAUAAUAAAGAUGCCAUAAAAAUCA
rnacentral:lncRNA from 1 species